UUAAUGUCUUAAACAAUUCUAUGGAGGCAGAUUUAUUUUACUUGAAAGUUUAGUUUCCACAUAUGUAUGAUGUAAUAUAUGUGCUAAUAGCCUUUUUUCAAUUCUUUUGUUCCUGUUGGUUACCUUGGGCUCCAACUAUUCAAUAAGUUAAGUUAUCUAAUUGUUCUCAUGGAUGUUUCAGAAACAUGUUCUAAUGGAGUGAUUGGUUCUUUGAAUUUCGAAACAAUGUCCCAUCGCCAACAACAGAACCAAAGGGAAAGGGAUAGGCGAAAUCAACUUAAAACUGGAUGCAAUGAUCGUCGCAAGAGGAUAAAUGAUCCCAUGUCAUCUGAAAUUAAUAAUUCCAGCAUUGAAAGAAUACAACAAUCUAUAAUGCAUCAUGAUUUUGAUGCUUCUACUUCAAGCCAAGAGACGCAUGAUAUUUCCAACUUUGCAUUACAAAGUAGUUUUAAUGUACUGAAUAUACCAACAACUUCAUAUGUAUUACCGACAUGCAAUAGCUAUAAAUAUUGUGGUGCAAUAAAUUCAUACAGAAAGUAAAGGCUUCUAUUGCUCUGAUGGAAAUGUUCAUUUCUGUAUUUCUGAUUCACCAACUGAACUGUACAACUUUUUUACUUUCAAAGAACCUAAAUAUAUGGAAUUUAAAAAG
rnacentral:lncRNA from 1 species